GACCACAAGUAUAUAUUAAUAUCUUUGGAAUUGGUUUCAACUUUCAACAUCUUACAAGAUACACAGUUUUCCUCUUGAGCUUCACCAACAUAUGGGGAGGCUUCAACAUUCUAAAGCCUACAAAUGCUUGGAUUAUUGUGUAUGGUGUUGUUCCUAUCUCCGGGGCAAUGAUCGAUAUUGUCUACAACCAUAUUAAAACUUUGGAACAAAUUCACAUGACAUGGAAAUAUGAAUGGAGCAAAUGAAGAGUAGAUCAUUCAACUUUCCUAUAGGGUGUUUGGCAAUGUUUAUGCGUAAAUAAGUAUACGUAAUUUAAAAUUAGUUCUUCUAAGGUGAAUUUCUACUGUUUGGUUUGGAAGACAGGGUCUUGUGUAGGUUUAUGUGAUAGGUGUUUUAUCGUCUAUAUUAUUUGAGAAUGGAA